UACGUAGGGUGCAGGCGUUAAUCGGAAUUACUGGGCGUAAAGCGUGCGCAGGCGGUUUGCUAAGACAGAUGUGAAAUCCCCGGGCUUAACCUGGGAAUUGCGUUUGUAACUGGCAAGCUAGAGUGUGGCAGAGGGGGGUGGAAUUCCAAGUGUAGCAGUGAAAUGCGUAGAUAUUUGGAGGAACACCGAUGGCGAAGGCAGCCCCCUGGGCUAACACUGACGCUCAUGCACGAAAGCGUGGGGAGCAAACAGG
rnacentral:rRNA from 1 species